rnacentral:rRNA from 1 species
CACGUAGGGGACGAGCGUUGUCCGGAUUCAUUGGGCGUAAAGGGCGCGUAGGCGGUUCGUACAGUCAGACGUGAAAUUCCUGGCUCAACCUGGGGACUGCGCUUGAUACGGCAGAGCUUGAGGAUGGAAGAGGGUCGCGGAAUUCCCAGUGUAGAGGUGAAAUUCGUAGAUAUUGGGAAGAACACCGGUGGCGAAGGCGGCGACCUGGUCCAUUACUGACGCUGAGGCGCGACAGCGUGGGGAGCAAACAGG